UUAUGUGCCUUUGAGGAUCUUUCUGGACUAAAGAUUAAUUUUCAUAAGAGUGAACUCUUCUGUUUCGGCGAGGCCGCAGAAGUUUCACAAGAUUAUGCUGAAAUCUUUGGUUGUCAACUCGGACAAUUUCCAAUUCGCUAUCUGGGUAUCCCUAUUCACUAUAGGCGACUGACAAUAGCUGAAUGGAAGCAUGUUGAAGAGAGACUGGAGAAACGUCUGGCCAGUUGGAAGGCCAAACUCUUGUCCUAUGGAGGUCGACUAAUCUUGAUCAAUUCGGUCCUUACCAAUAUGGUUCUUUAU
rnacentral:rRNA from 1 species